rnacentral:misc_RNA from 1 species
UCUUCGAUGAAUCGUACUCGUUCAUCUGACAGCCCCAGGUUUUAAUAUGGAGUUUUUUAGUCAUCGACUUGCUCUUGCGAAAUAGUGGCUGAAAAGCAGGGCGCAUAGUGUAAUGCUUUGGCGCGGUUGUGACCAGUAUGACUGACGUCAGCCCUAAUGGGUAAAAAAUCCUGUAAACUUGUCUAAAACGUAACAGGAUGAAUGACCAUGACAAAUCAACCAACGGAAAUUGCCAUUGUCGGCGGGGGAAUGGUCGGCGGCGCGCUGGCGCUGGGUCUGGCGCAGCAAGGGUUUACGGUGAUGGUAAUAGAACAUGCCGCGCCUGCGCCGUUUGUGGCUGACAGUCAGCCUGACGUGCGGAUUUCGGCCAUUAGCGCGGCAUCCGUGGCGCUGCUCAAGGGAC